rnacentral:lncRNA from 1 species
GGCCCCUAGGUCCUAACUUAGAAAAUGAGGUCAAGGGCAAAGGUCAAGGUCAAAAUCUCAAUUGUGACUUUUGCUUGUAUUUGCAUUUUCUCCCACACUUUGAAAGAUACAUAUAAAAGAAAAGUGCAAAUGUCAGCUUUAUUGUAAUGAAGAUAUGCUACAUUUAGUCUGAUACAAUUUAAUGGCAUCUUAUAGGAGUUGGUGCCCCUGAAAUAUCUUGAUAUGAGGUUAUUUGAUUAUAACUUCAACUAAGUUGAUUAUAAAGGCAUUUGACCUUUUACAAAAGGUUAGGUGACAAAUGACCUUGAAAAAUGACUACCGGAAGUGACCUUGAGAAAACCAGAAGUAGCCUUUUUUGCAAUUUUUACAUAUAAAAGUACUCAGAAUCCAUAUAUUUCGUCAUAUAGAUACAUAAACUGAAUACUGACGACUAAAAAUGACUUCCAACAAACCGGAAGUGGCCAAUUAUCUCCCAUUCUACAUACAAAAGUAUAUACAAACUAUAUAUUUUUGGAAUCAGUGUGAAAAAAGGUAUCAUAUGAGACCGGAAGUGACAUUCAUUUCACCGGAAGUAGCAU